UCAACCCGUUGCGCUGUAACCACCGAAGCAAAUUCAUCCAUUCGCGCAUUUUGGAUGGAUACUUCGUACGAUCCAUCCUAUUCAAGGACGGGGCACCAAGUCAGAGUUGGAUCACGGUACGGAUCAUAAAUAUUUACGAUGGUAACGCAGUCAGUGGUUACCCGCUUGGCUGUACGAUGUAUCCAGCCACUUCAUCUACACAUAAACAACACUCACUAUCGCAUACGGGAACGUGCGUCUGAGAGUACCUGCACUCCCGCCAACCCCAUCGUUCUUGUCCCACUGCCACACCAACGAUAGAAACGACUCCUGGCGCCUGCACCGAAGCAGCUUGUCGAGUCAGCGGAAUGUCAUCCGGUCGGCUCCGUGGAUGAUUCGUGUUGCUGAUCACGCUGAUCGACCACUUGACCGGAACGCGUCGCAAACUCUUAAGUGGAACACCCUGGCUAUCGCGACGUACAACGACGCUGAAAAACCUUGGGCAACGGAACACCGGGGCUGGGAUGCUCCAUUCCCAGUAUUCUACUCACGAGGAUGAAGACGUCUCCCCACGUAUAGGAUUAAGUAUUCAUUCCCUCCGAAGGAGAGCCGAGGGGGAUUAAUCCGUCAGUCUCUUCCCCGGUUUAAAUCUCAGGGAUAUUAUUACGGUGGCCUCUACAGACUUUAUUAUAUAUCCUCAAAGAACUCCUCGAUCAACUACGCGCGCCUGUACGAGCGGUAUGUGAAACAGCUCAGGGGCAUUCUGGGCGCAUGGCACCCUCUCCCAGGAGGAAGUCACCUCGGUGAUCUUCGACGCAUCAGCGAUCCUCGGCAUCUCCGGCUGCAGUACCAUCUUCCGUCCUGCAAGGCCUCCCACUACAUUGGCUCUUUGCCUUUUCCCCGGGUUCCGUAAGACUUCUCACGUAUGCCUGAAGGCAUCUAUCAGCUGGAACGCAUCUCUACCGCUAUCGAAAGAAAAGAUGUGGUCAGGAUCACUCUUCAAGCGGAACGCAGAAAAUGACUGAACUAAUGGCCAAAACCACAUCAAGCGAUACAAAGUACCAUGAGCCGCCUUGGAUACAUGUGCGUGCAGUUUCUAUU